rnacentral:tRNA from 1 species
GGGGUUGUGGCUCAGUGGUAGAGCACAUGCUUAGCAUAUGUGAGGCACUGGGUUCAAUUCUCAACACCUCA